rnacentral:rRNA from 1 species
UGGGUGACGAGCGGCGGACGGGUGAGUAAUGUCUGGGAAACUGCCUGAUGGAGGGGGAUAACUACUGGAAACGGUAGCUAAUACCGCAUAACGUCGCAAGACCAAAGAGGGGGACCUUCGGGCCUCUUGCCAUCAGAUGUGCCCAGAUGGGAUUAGCUAGUAGGUGGGGUAAUGGCUCACCUAGGCGACGAUCCCUAGCUGGUCUGAGAGGAUGACCAGCCACACUGGAACUGAGACACGGUCCAGACUCCUACGGGAGGCAGCAGUGGGGAAUAUUGCACAAUGGGCGCAAGCCUGAUGCAGCCAUGCCNCGUGUGUGAAGAAGGCCUUCGGGUUGUAAAGCACUUUCA